rnacentral:rRNA from 1 species
AUUGAACGCUGGUGGCAGGCCUAACACAUGCACGUCGAGCGGAGCGGCGGACGGGUGAGUAAUGCCUAGGAAUCUGCCUGGUAGUGGGGGCUCCCGUCCGGAACCGGGCGCUACUACCUCAUACUAUCAGAUGAGCCUAGGUCGGAUUCGCUAGUUGGGGGGGUAAAGGCCUACCAAGGCGACUAUCCGUACCUGGUCUGAGAGGAUGAUCAGUCACGUUGGAACUGAGACACGGUCCAGACUCCUACGGGAGGCAGCAGUGGGGAAGAGUGGACAAUGGGCGAAAGCCUGAUCCAGCCAUGCCGCGUGUGUGAAGAAGGUCUUCGGAUUUUAAAGCACUUUAAGUUGGGAGGCGUUACCAACAGAAUAAGCACCGGCUAACUUCGUGCCAGCAGCCGCGGUAAUAC